rnacentral:pre_miRNA from 1 species
UCCUCUCGGUUGCCUUAGAGCAUCCGCAGCCAGCCACUGGAAACACCCCUGAAUCACUAUACCAUACUAUUAUUGAUAUCAAGGUGUAACAAAUAUUGUGAUUUAGGGGUGUUUUCCAGUGACUUGCUGUAGAUGCUCUUACAUCUGUUGUCUA